rnacentral:lncRNA from 1 species
AUCACCUUCUAUACUUUAAAAAGUGUCAAAUCGAUCCUUUUAGUUAUCGAUAUAUUUCAAUAUGAUCCAAUCAUUUAUUUAGCAAUAAAUGGUGCUAUCUUUUUCUCUCAACAGAUAGAAAUGUCCCUCGCUCAUGCGUGGGCUUGGAGGAGGAAGAAAAAGAUGAUAAGGAGGAGAGAACCGUCGUAGAGGGGGAUAGUUUAUGAGUAGCUUGGAAGAGAAGGAGGUUAUUAAUUAAAAAGGAGGGAGGAAGAGGAUG